GGAUGUGAGGGCGAUCUGGCUGCGACAUCUGUCACCCCAUUGAUCGCCAGGGUUGAUUCGGCUGAUCUGGCUGGCUAGCCGGGUGUCCCCUUCCUCCCUCACCGCUCCAUGUGCGUCCCUCCUUCCUCCCUCACCGCUCCAUGUGCGUCCCUCCCGAAGCUGCGCGCUCGGUCGAAGAGGACGACCUUCCCCGAUAGAGGAGGACCGUUCUUCGGUCAAGGGUAUACGAGUAGCUGCGCUCCCCUGCUAGAACCUCCAAACAAGCUCUCAAGGUUCAUUUAUAUUAGCAUAAAAAAGAAAAUAGCAAUAGGAAUAUAGUUCAGUAGUAGAGCACUUAC
rnacentral:snRNA from 1 species